CUCGGGCGGCCGCCGCUCUUCGGGUGAGGGGCGAGGCUGUGCGCAGCUUCGGGAGCGUUCUGCCCUCAGCCGGGGCCGUUCCUCUACCCGAAGGAGACAAAAUCCCCGCUAAAGCUCCGCUUGCCUCCGCUCCGCUCCGCUCGCUCGCCGCCUCUGUUCCUCUCUAGGGAUUUCAGUUCAUGUUGCCGGCUCGGCGGCAGGGGGAGGAGGAGGAGGAGGAAUAAGGAGGGGGAGGAGGCGGUGGCACGCUCCGACGCCUCCCGCCCCCGCGGCCCCGAGGGCGGCUCCCAGCCCCGGCGAGGGUUCUGCUGCCGGGCAGCGGAGCGGGUAAGAAGUCCAAAGGAGAGCUGAAUGACUUUUCAUACUGACCUGCUUAAACUACAGUGUCUCAGCCAAACUGCCUUAACCAAAGUUUUUCAGCUGUUUUCAUCAUUUAGUGGCCCGCAUCUUGCAGUCACACCUGCAUGAGUCAGGACUUUUAUGUAUAGCAUAUGGGACAGGCUUCUGCACAGAUGCUGAACUGCAGAAUUUAUGUCCUAACUCAUCUUUUAUGAUUACUUUGGUCUGUAUAAUGGAAUGAAAAUGACUGUGGCAUAUUAGUUUGUGUGGGAUUAUUUUGUUUUGUUUUGUUUUUUGUCUUUUUUUUUUUUUUAAUCUAAAUAUAUGUGUCUUUAUUAGGAAACUCUAAAUGUAUUAUGUAGCGAAUGUAAAAGCAAAUGCACAGUGAAGUUCAGUAUUCAAGGCAAAUUACAGAACCAUGGACUGGCUUGAGUUGGAAAGGAGUUUAAAGACCACUCAGCCCCAACCCCCUGUGUAUAAUCAAUGAAUAUACAGGUGUUAUAAUUAAGAAAUACACAAGAGAGUUUGGCUAAGAAAGUAUUAAACCAAAAAGAAUAGAAGGCUUACUCUUGUCCUGGGCUUGCUGGAAAACUCCAAAAAGAAGGAUCUCCAGAAAGAGAUCUUUCCUCACUGCUAGUCAGCUCUUAAAUGGGUCUAGGAGAGGUGGAGCCAAGCUCCACCCCUUCCG
rnacentral:lncRNA from 1 species